rnacentral:rRNA from 1 species
UACGUAGGGUGCGAGCGUUAAUCGGAAUUACUGGGCGUAAAGCGUGCGCAGGCGGUUCGUUGUGUCGGCGGUGAAAGCCCCGGGCUCAACCUGGGAAUGGCCGUUGAAACUGGCGAACUGGAGUGUGGCAGAGGGGGGUGGAAUUCCGCGUGUAGCAGUGAAAUGCGUAGAGAUGCGGAGGAACACCGAUGGCGAAGGCAGCCCUCUGGGCCAACACUGACGCUCAGGCACGAAAGCGUGGGGAGCAAACAGG